UCUCGCCUUUAGUAACGUAAAAUUUUAUUCAUAUGGAAUAUCCAGUUUCGCCUAUCGUAAUACUGCGAGUAGUGUUCUUUUAGGAAGAUUGCGGAGAACUUAUGUGAUUGAGAUGACGAUGACAUGAUGGAAAUGUCAAAUGCACGUGAUUUUUUAUAAUGCGAUGAAACCGAGAAACUGAACCGCUAAAAAAAGUACUGUUUUAUCGUUUUUGACGAUGGAAAUACGCAUCGCGAAAACAUGAUGAAAAAUACGGUAAAUAUGAUUCAAGGUGACACAAGCUUGCUUCCUGUUUCGUUUUUAGGGUAUUUUAGUAUACACUACAAUACAUUGUACGAGAAUUUAUUGUAUACAGCCCCGAUAUACAGGCUGAUAUCGUCGACCUGAGAGAUACUUUGACAGCGAACACACCUCUUAUCUCUUUGAAAAUGGAAGUUAAUUAUAUCUGUGAAAAUUAAUUAUAUUUAUGUUCGACGAGAUCCGCCGUGUCGAAGUGCUCCCGAUGACGACAACCAUCCUUUGCUCCAGUGUGGCACAACCUAUGGCUAACAGCUAUUAUAUGUACCAUGAGACAGAGACGCUCUCGCGUAGCUCGCGGGGACUGGUGCUCUAUGUCGCAUCGUCUUUUUCCUGUUGUACAUACCAACAUCGCGGAUAUUCGGAAGCGUCAGUAA